GUCAGUGCAAGGAGUGGCAUGAAUACUCUUUAACAUCUGUUCAAUAUUCAUGUCGAUUAACUUGCAGCUAUGUGUUUAUAACAACCGAUCGAUAACGAAGGCCAUUAAAAGUUGGGAACAGCUUUUUUAAAUAUUUAUUUUGAUUAUGUCACUUUAAAGUUAGCAGAAGGACAUUUUUCUGUAAUCGUUUUGCGACAACUACUUAAGCAUAACAAUUUUAGAAUAUUUCAUCUUGAUGGAAGUAUCUUCUGUUAUGUAAAACAUACAGUUAUACUAUGAACUCUUUACUAUUUAGUUGUACUUCAUUACAAUACACAUAUUUAAUACAA